UACGGGGGGGGCAAGCGUUGUUCGGAAUUACUGGGCGUAAAGGGUCUGUAGGUGGCCAAUUAAGUCAGACGUGAAAUCCCUCAGCUUAACUGGGGAACUGCGUCUGAGACUGGAUGGCUCGAGUGCAGGAGAGGAAUGCGGAAUUCCAGGUGUAGCGGUGAAAUGCGUAGAUAUCUGGAGGAACACCGGUGGCGAAGGCGGCAUUCUGGACUGCAACUGACACUGAGAGACGAAAGCCAGGGGAGCAAACGGG
rnacentral:rRNA from 1 species